CUGCUGUUUUCUACAUUAUCAAUUGCUUUUGUCAUGUUGAUCAAAAUGUAUUAUAAUGGGUCUCUGUUGAAUAGUCUCACCCCCCACAACAUUUAGGCAUUAGUUCAUCGCAUAAGUCUUUACAUGCAAAAUGGUUGAACAGGCUGUCAUAAUAUGUCAAGCAUAUUUCUAUACAUUUCCAUUAGACGUUUCUGAAUCUGUCCUGAAUUGGUAAAUUGCUCCCAGGUGAAUCUUGACUUCCUCUAACGAUGGGAAAUGUGUGAAGCAUUAGAUCAACCAAUGAUCAACCAGUUUUCUGAAAUAGCUCAAAGGUGCAUCUCAUGAACCAUCAACUGGCAAGUAUAUAUAUUGCCGGAGCACAACACAAUGUUACAAUGUCUGACAAUGGAAGGACAAGGAAUUGGA